CAACUUAUUUAUCGAGUCUUCACUGUUUUCAGCCCGUCUCUUUAUCUAUCCCUUAUUACAUCUAGUACCUGGGUGUCUGAUACUCUUCUGUGGAUUUUAGCCUGACAACACCCCUGUCAGGCCCAUAACCUAAUCCUGUGGCAAGAACAAAAGGCAUGGCUGGAGAUUGUCGGACCAGAGUCAAAGUGUCAUAAAGGAAAGCCAAAACCGCAGUUGUUGGAGAGUCAAAGGAUGAGGAAGUUUUGGGAACUGAUUAGAGAGCAGAACUGACACUGACACACAUCCCAUUCCUCCACUACGCAGGGUCUGAUCUCUUGGGAUGCUGUCAGCUGCAGCUGGGGAUUUGGCUUAUCGGGGACCCUCCGCAUCAGUAGGCACCUGCCUGUGGCCAGGGGAGUUAGACCCAACACUGAAAGCACACCUGAAUUGUCUGGGAGACAAAUGAAGUCCAAAGGACAAGUUGGCCAUCUUCACUACGGAAGUCCUGUGGUUGGCUAGAAAAGCAGCUGUUAUUCUCAAUUGGUUAUUUUAUGAGGAUUUCCCUGUUUAUUAUGUAGGAAUCUGAAUAAUAAACUUGUGGAUCAGUCAUGUGUCUAGCUAAUUCCAUACAUUUGUAUAUGGGAGCUAAUUUAAAGAGAAAAGCUCUGUAAUAAAUAGCAGUUACACAGGAAAAAACAUCUCCCAGAAAUAACAAUUUCCCCCUCUCUUCAAUACUCAGAGAUUGGCCUCAUUUCUACUUUUAAUCCAAAACUUGGUUUUUAGAGUAAAAUUUCAUUGGAACAUUCUUGUUAGCUAUGAGCUUUGUGUAAGUAAAUAAAAAAAAAUUAAAGUUUUGUCCAAUUGUAAUUCUUGUGACAAUAGCUUCUGCUGUCUGAUCAAGAAUGAUAUAUUGCCAGUUUUCGGUUGUUCCUUCUCAACAGUUUUGUUCGUCUUUUUUCUCAUUUUCUUGUAAGAAAUAAUAACUAACAGAUAAAAGCUAGCAAUACAAACAUUUUUGCUUUUUUGGUGGUAAGGAAUGUCAAACACUAUGUUACAAAAGAAGUCACAGGUAGUGUGUUAAUUUGAAUGUGACAUUUAGCUCUUAAUGUAAAAAACCGAAACAAAAGAAAAUCAAAACAGUGAAAAGAAAGAACUCAUGGAACCCAGGAAGUAACCAUCGAAUGCAAUAUCAUUUGUUAUCUUGUGCAAGAAGAGCCUUAGAAGUUAUCUUGAAUUUAGAGCUUUUUUUUUGAAUGUUAAGGCAAGAGGGAUAGCAAGGAGAGUUCAGAUCAGAAUAUGUAUAUUUAAACAAAGUAUUAAGUUUUGGUGUGGGAUAGAUCCAAACCCAAAAGAGGCCUAUUUUCUUCAUGCUGGUUUUCAAAUUGAAAAAAUGUUCCAAGAACAACUAUUCUCAUGAGGUUUUGGCCCAAGAUGUUAGGAAAAAACAGAUGAUCUCACAAGACCUCUGACAUCCAAAGAGCAAAAAAAUCUCACAAGUCAGAUUCUGCUACAUGCUGCCUCUUAGGGACAAAAAUUUGUUGAGAACAAUCUACAGAAAUAUUAGGCUAUUGAACUAAAUAUAAACAAUCUAGAGAUUAUUUUUUAGCCUUAUUGUCUAAAUCCAAAUUUGACCACAAGAUGGGUAUGAUCUCCUCAGAGUAACCUAUCAUUGAUGGCCAUCUCUCACACCUAUCAGCAAUGGUUGGCUGGAAAAAUAAACAUUUAAAGAAAGAAUAUGGCAAAAGGAACAUCACAUUACAAAAUGACUAGUAUAUUUUCAUAUCCCAAUAGCUUUCAUAAUCAAAUUAGAAAUGAUGACAUGAAGUACCCAGUUCUUUAUUGUGACAAGAUAAAAGGAGGAAGAUGGAAGAAGAAGACAGUUUGAUUGUGGAGAUAUAGUGUGGUGGGGCUGAUUUUGAACAGCAAUUUGGGUCAGCUCAGAAAACUACUAUCUUUAAUUUUGUGUUUAGUAAAGGCUGAGAGAGUCAACAAAUACUGCUUAAUUUACACAUACACAAUAUCACGCACACAGUUACGUAUGGAUUCAGUUUGAACCAUGUGAAUAUUUACAUUUCUAUAUUCGUAAGUAAGGUACUUGACAUGUAGGUGACAUUAAAUACAAUCACUGAUAGGUGGGUCUAAAAAUUAUAAAAUGCUAUAAAAUGUUUUCUGCACCUUGUUCUCUGGACGAGAACUUCAAUAGAUAUAAACUGGCUUAGAUCCACUUAUUUCAGCGUCUAUUUUAUAGCAGCUUUAAGCCUGGCCUUAUCUAUUUGUUGUACACAAUCAUAUUCCCUGAUUAUCUAAAAAUAACACCUUAUGAUUGAGAGAUGUUGUCAGUUUUGGAACAGGAUUUUCUGUAACUUUUUGAAUUUUACUAAACUGAGAAAAUAGAACGUGGAAUAGUUUUUGUCAGAUUUUUAAGUUAUGAGUACAGAGAGGAUCUUAGAAGAAAAUAAUAUAUCAAGCUCAUGAGUGUAAGACAGAUAUUUGUGCCAUGAUUUGCUUCAGCCUUGUAGAAUGAAAGUAGGAGUAAUAAAAUGUGCAGAGGAGUGUGCAAACUGUUGUAUCCCCUGAAUUCAUUGAAGAUGAUGUGAAAAAGUUGUUUGUAUGCUUUAUUAUGUGUGGAAAUCCUAUAAAAAAUGCUAGCUUGGAAGUAAAAGCGGUCAGAGAUAAAGAUCAGCAUGAUGGGGUUGACACUGCAAUUAAACCUGAAAAUCUCUUUUUAUGUUACACAUUAAAAAUC